UGUCCGGCCACACUGGGACUGAGAUACGGCGAGAAACCUACGGGAGGCAGCAGUGGGGAAUAUUGCACAAUGGGCGCAAGCCUGAUGCAGCGACGCCGCGUGGGGGAUGACGGCCUUCGGGUUGUAAACCUCUUUCAGCAGGGACGAAGCGCAAGUGACGGUACCUGCAGAAGAAGCACCGGCCAACUACGUGCCAGCAGCCGCGGUAAUACCUUAGGGUGCGAGCGUUGUCCGGAAUUACUGGGCGUAAAGAGCUCGUAGGUGGUUUGUCGCGUUGUUCGUGAAAACCGGGGGCUUAACCCUCGGCGUGCGGGCGAUACGGGCAGACUAGAGUACUGCAGGGGAGACUGGAAUUCCU
rnacentral:rRNA from 1 species